GAUGAACGCUGGCGGCGUGCCUAAUACAUGCAAGUCGAGCGAAUGGAUUAAGAGCUUGCUCUUAUGAAGUUAGCGGCGGACGGGUGAGUAACACGUGGGUAACCUGCCCAUAAGACUGGGAUAACUCCGGGAAACCGGGGCUAAUACCGGAUAACAUUUUGAACCGCAUGGUUCGAAAUUGAAAGGCGGCUUCGGCUGUCACUUAUGGAUGGACCCGCGUCGCAUUAGCUAGUUGGUGAGGUAACGGCUCACCAAGGCAACGAUGCGUAGCCGACCUGAGAGGGUGAUCGGCAACACUGGGACUGAGACACGGCCCAGACUCCUACGGGAGGCAGCAGUAGGGAAUCUUCCGCAAUGGACGAAAGUCUGACGGAGCAACGUCGCGUGAGUGAUGAAGGCUUUCGGGUCGUAAAACUCUGUUGUUAGGGAAGAACAAGUGCUAGUUGAAUAAGCUGGCACCUUAACGGUACCUAACCAGAAAGCCACGGCUAACUACGUGCCAGCCGCCGCAGUAA
rnacentral:rRNA from 1 species